rnacentral:rRNA from 1 species
AGCAGCCGCGGUAAUUCCAGCUCCAAUAGCGUAUAUUAAAGUUGUUGCAGUUAAAAAGCUCGUAGUUGAAUUUCGGGAUCAAUAUGUUGGUCGUGCCUUGGUACGUACUGGCGUCAUUGGUUUCUACCUUCGGAAGAACCUCGAUGUCAUUAAUUUGGUGUCUUGGGGAAUCAGGACUGUUACUUUGAAAAAUUAGAGUGUUUAAAGCAAGCUCGCGCUUGAAUACAUUAGCAUGGAAUAAUGAAAUAGGACGUUUGAUUCUAUUUUGUUGGUUUCUAGGAUCGACGUAAUGAUUAAUAGGGAUAGUUGGGGCAUUAGUAUUCAAUUGUCAGAGGUGAAAUUCUUGGAUUUAUUGAAGACUAACUACUGCGAAAGCAUUUGCCAAGGAUGUUUUCAUUAAUCAAGAACG